rnacentral:rRNA from 1 species
UCCUGGUGGAUUGCUCCAUAAAAAAUUACUAGGCUACUCGAUUGUGAGAAUCUAAACGGAAUAUCUUUUGUAACCAACAGCUAAUACGGCAGAAACUGUCUGUGUUUUCGGAUGCAGACUGCUCAUGUUAGUUUAAACCAACCCGGCAACGGAUUUGGCGAGUCACAACAUCUAGCGUCGGACAUGCUUUAUGCGGUCCGGAAUCGAUUGCGGUUUUUCCCUAUCAGGUUUCGAUGGUAGUGUAUUGAACUAUCGUGCCGUUGACGGGUGACGGGGGUUUUGGGACUGACUCCGGAGAAAAAGCCUGAGAGACGGCUUUUAGACCUAUGGGUUGCAGCAGUUACGGAAAUUAUCCCAUGCGCCUCGCGCGAGAUAGUGACAGGGAAUAUCAAAGCGGGACUCUUCGAGUCUUGCUGUUGGAAUGAGAACAAAAUAAAACCUUUAGCGAGGAUCAAUUGGAGGGCAAGUCUGGUGCCAGCAGCCGCGGUAAUUCCAGCUCCAAUAAGGAACAUUAAAUUUGUUGCAGUUAAAAAGCUCGUAGUUGAAUUUCUGCGCGUCGUCGCGGAGCCGCAUCGGAGAAAUCCAUUGCGCGUCUCCGCCGCGCGCAUGCUCGCGUUGACCCUCGAUUGUUUACUCGGUCGUGUGGAAGGCGCGUCUUUUACUGUGAACAAAACGAAGCGUUCAUGGCAGGCUUUGAGCUUGAACGAAUCGCACGGAAUAAUGAAAACGGCCUCGCUCGUUUUCGUUGGUUCGCGAAUGAGGUUAUUGGUUAACAGGAACAGUUGGGGGUAUUCGUACUUCAACGCUAGAGGUGAAAUUCUUGGAUUGUUGAAUGACGAACGACUGCGAAGGCAUUUACCAAGGAUGUUUUCAUUAAUCAAGAACGAAAGUUUGGGGAUCGAAGAUGAUUAGAUACCAUCGUAGUCCAAACAGUAAACGAUGCCGACUCGGGAUCCGAGCGUGUUGAUUAUGACCGCUCGGGCACCGUAUGAGAAAUCAAAGUCUUAGGGUUCCGGGGGGAGUAUGGUCGCAAGGCUGAAACUUACCAGGUCCAGACAUGACGAGGAUUGACAGUUUGAAAGCACUUUCUUGAUUUUAUGGGUGGUGGUGCAUGGCCGUUCUUAGUUGGUGGAGUGAUUUGUCUGGUUGAUUCCGAUAACGAACGAGACCCGGACUGCUAAAUAGCGACCCGUUACAUUUUGUAGCGCAGGCGCUUCUUAGUGGGACAACUCGGUUUUACCGAGCGGAAGCACCGGGCAAUAACAGGUCUGUGAUGCCCUUAGAUGUUCUGGGCCACACGCGCGCUACAAUGACGGGUUCAACGAGUUUUUUCCUUGCUUGGAAGGGCAUGGGUAAUCUUCUCAAUGCUCGUCGUGAUGGGGCUAGAUUUUUGCAAUUAUUAAUCUUCAACGAGGAAUCUCUAGUAUGUGCGAGUCAUCAGCUCGCGCAGAAUGCGUCCCUGCCCUUUGUACACACCGCCCGUCGCAGCUACCGAUUGGAUGGUCCGAUGAAAAGUUUGGAGAUGAGAUUGGCUCGCGAGGGCUGGUUUCGUCAAAGCUCUUUGAAUCUUAUCAUCUAGAGGAAGCUGAAGUCGUAACAAGGUU